rnacentral:rRNA from 1 species
AGCGAACGCUGGCGGCAGGCCUAACACAUGCAAGUCGAACGAAGCCUUCGGGCUUAGUGGCGGACGGGUGAGUAACACGUGGGAACGUACCUUUUGGUUCGGAACAACUCAGGGAAACUUGAGCUAAUACCGGAUGAGCCCUUAGGGGGAAAGAUUUAUCGCCGAAAGAGCGGCCCGCGUUAGAUUAGCUAGUUGGUGAGGUAAAGGCUCACCAAGGCAACGAUCUAUAGCUGGUCUGAGAGGAUGAUCAGCCACACUGGGACUGAGACCCGGCCCAGACUGCUACGAGAGGCAGCUGUGGGAGAUCUUGCGCAAGGGGCGAAAUCGUGACGCAGCCGUGCCGCGUGAAUGAUGAAGGGCUUAGGAUUGUAAAAUUCUUUUACCAGGAACGAUAAUGACGGUACCUGGAGAAAAAGCCCCGGCUAACUUCGUGCCAGCCGCCGCCGUAACAC